GGCCUUUUGAAUUUAAUUUAAGGUCUGACCUGCCCAGUGAUGAAUUUAACGGCCGCGGUAUAUUGACCGUGCAAAGGUAGCAUAAUCAUUAGUCUUUUAAUAGAGGGCUGGAAUGAAUGGUUUAACGAGGAACUAGCUGUCUCAUUUUAUUUGUUUUAGAAUUUAAUUUUUUAGUUAAAAAGCUAAAAUUUUAUUGGAAGACGAGAAGACCCUAUAGAUCUUUAUAUAAUUUUAUUUAUUUAUUUAUAUAUUAAUGUAAUUAUAUUUAAAUUAUAUUUUGUUGGGGUGACAAAAAUACAUAAUUAACUUUUUCAUUUAUUUACCAUUUAUAUAUGAGUAUUAGAUCCAUUUUUAGUGAUUGUUAGAAUAAGUUACCUUAGGGAUAACAGCGUAAUCCUCCUCCAGAGUUCAUAUUUACAGGAGGGCUUGCGACCUCGAUGUUGGAUUAAGAUAAUAAUUAGGUGUAGCCGCUUAAUGUAUAGGUCUGUUCGACCUUUAAAUUCUU
rnacentral:rRNA from 1 species